rnacentral:rRNA from 1 species
AGUGGCGCACGGGUGCGUAACGCGUAUGCAACCUACCCCAUACUGGGGGAUAGCCCGGGGAAACCCGGAUUAAUACCCCAUGGUAAAUUGRAAUGGCAUCAUUUUAAUUUUAAAGAUUUAUUGGUAUGGGAUGGGCAUGCGUAGGAUUAGCUAGUUGGCGGGGUAACGGCCCACCAAGGCGACGAUCCUUAGGGGUUCUGAGAGGAAGGUCCCCCACACUGGCACUGAGAUACGGGCCAGACUCCUACGGGAGGCAGCAGUAGGGAAUAUUGGGCAAUGGGCGGAAGCCUGACCCAGCCAUGCCGCGUGCAGGAAGAAUGCCCUCUGGGUUGUAAACUGCUUUUAUCAGGGAAGAAAAGGCCCAUGCGUGGGACAUUGCCGGUACCUGAUGAAUAAGCACCGGCUAACUCCGUGCCAGCAGCCGCGGUAAUACGGAGGGUGCAAGCGUUGUCCGGAUUUAUUGGGUUUAAAGGGUGCGUAGGCUGCGGUUUAAGUCAGCGGUGAAAGUUUGGGCUCAACCUUAAAAACGCCGAUGAUACUG